rnacentral:rRNA from 1 species
CCUACGGGAGGCAGCAGUGGGGAAUUUUGGACAAUGGGCGAAAGCCUGAUCCAGCAAUGCCGCGUGCAGGAUGAAGGCCUUCGGGUUGUAAACUGCUUUUGUACGGAACGAAAAGACUCUGGUUAAUACCUGGGGUUCAUGACGGUACCGUAAGAAUAAGCACCGGCUAACUACGUGCCAGCAGCCGCGGUAAUACGUAGGGUGCAAGCGUUAAUCGGAAUUACUGGGCGUAAAGCGUGCGCAGGCGGUGAUGUAAGACAGAUGUGAAAUCCCCGGGCUCAACCUGGGAACUGCAUUAGUGACUGCAUCGCUGGAGUGCGGCAGAGGGGGAUGGAAUUCCGCGUGUAGCAGUGAAAUGCGUAGAUAUGCGGAGGAACACCGAUGGCGAAGGCAAUCCCCUGGGCCUGCACUGACGCUCAUGCACGAAAGCGUGGGGAGCAAACAGGAUUAGAUACCCUGGUAGUCCACACGGUAAACGAUGAAUGCUAGGUGUAGGAGGUAUCGACCCCUUCUGUGCCGCAGUUAACACAAUAAGCAUUCCGCCUGGGGAGUACGGUCGCAAGAUUAAAACUCAAAUGAAUUGACG